rnacentral:rRNA from 1 species
CGGUGCACGAAUAAGAGCUGGGCAAGACCGGUGCCAGCCGCCGCGGUAACACCGGCAGCUCAAGUGAUGACCGAUUUUAUUGGGCCUAAAGCGUUCGUAGCCGGCCGGGCAAGUUCGUCGGGAAAUCUACCAGCUCAACUGGUAGGCGUCCGGCGAAAACUGCACGGCUUGAGACAGGGAGACUCGAAGGGUACGUCCGGGGUAGGAGUGAAAUCCUGUAAUCCUGGACGGACCACCGAUGGCGAAAGCACUUCGAGAGAACUGAUCUGACGGUCAGGAACGAAAGCUGGGGUCUCGAACCGGAUUAGAUACCCGGGUAGUCCCAGCUGUAAACGAUGUUCGCUAGGUGCGACGCAGACUACGAGUCUGUGUUGUGCCGUAGGGAAGCCGAGAAGCGAACCGCCUGGGAAGUACGUCCGCAAGGAUGAAACUUAAAGGAAUUGGCGGGGGAGCACUACAACCGGAGGAGCCUGCGGUUUAAUUGGACUCAACGCCGGACAUCUCACCAGCCCCGACUGUUCGAAUGAAGACCAGUGUGAUGAGCUUGUCAGACGAUCAGAGAGGAGGUGCAUGGCCGCCGUCAGCUCGUACCGUGAGGCGUCCUGUAAGUCAGGCAACGAGCGGGCACCUAUAGUUA